rnacentral:ncRNA from 1 species
AAACCGCUUCAUGCAGCCGCAGUAGCUCUGCUCCAGAAAGCCGCCCGAAAGGUCGGUGGUGUUCCUGUCGGCGCCUCGGCGCGACGAAGUAACGUGCUAGUCUUCCCGGGAGCCACGCUCCCGGGGGGCGACACCCUCAAAUUGCGGGAAACUCCUAAAGCCAGCGACACCAAGCCGGCGCCGAAAGGGCGUCGGUGGCCAGGGCAAUGACCCGGGGUACGGUAAAAGCGCGCUGGAUGGUGCAAUGGACGAUCCGCAGCCAAGCCUCGUCGCCGCAGGGCACGGGGGAGGUUCAGAGACUUGAUGGGGGUGGGUGUGGCGCGCGUCACGCCUAAGAUAAAGUCCGUCUACGCAGGAAAGUGUGUAGGGGUGACCUAAACG